UACGGAAAGCAGCAGUGGGGAAUAUUGCACAAUGGGCGCAAGCCUGAUGCAGCCAUGCCGCGUGUAUGAAGAAGGCCUUCGGGUUGUAAAGUACUUUCAGUCGUGAGGAAGGUGUUAAGGUUAAUAACCUUAGCAAUUGACGUUAGCGACAGAAGAAGCACCGGCUAACUCCGUGCCAGCAGCCGCGGUAAUACGGAGGGUGCGAGCGUUAAUCGGAAUUACUGGGCGUAAAGGGCACGCAGGCGGUUAAUUAAGUUGGAUGUGAAAUCCCCGGGCUUAACCUGGGAAUGGCAUUCAAGACUGGUUAGCUAGAGUCUUGUAGAGGGGGUAGAAUUCCAUGUGUAGCGGUGAAAUGCGUAGAGAUGUGGAGGAAUACCGGUGGCGAAGGCGGCCCCUGGACAAAGGCUGACGCUCAUGUGCGAAAGCGUGGGGAGCAAACAGGGAUUAGAU
rnacentral:rRNA from 1 species